CCUGCUCCGCACAGUACUGGGAACUCCUUUCCACCAAGCAGAAGUUAUCUGACAUCUCCAUUGCGGCUGUCUGGGUCAGAACUCCUCUUUGAAGGGGUUUCAAAGUAAAACAAGAUAAGAAGCACCUUUUCAAAAGGAAUCUUUCUGGAGGAGGCUGUGAUGUGAAAGAGUGGAGUGCAAGUUGGCCGCUGUGCUCGUGGGACAAAGACAUCUGCAGCAUCGGAGUCUGGUGGGCGCCUCCUCCUGGGUCCGUCCACCCCCAGGAUCACCCGCGGCCUGGUCACCCGCCCACGAUGUGAAAAGGUCCCUCCAGGCAUGGAGGCCAUGCUGCAAAGCCAGAGGGAAGUCUCCAACUGCGCAUAUUCCAAAGCCUUCCUCCGCCAAGCCACGUUGCCCUAACCCACACAGCGCCACUCUGUGGAAAGCAUUGUUCUCACUGCUGUUGCUGGUGACCAGGGCUGGAAAGGCAAAGGAAAACGGGACAACAGUGACACAGAUGACCGAGGCCAACACAACGCCCUGUGCUCCGCGAGAGAGACCCAAGGGAAAUCCCUGGGGGCCUUGAAUAAAUUGCCUGCGUUCUUCACUUCAUUUUACAAGUGCAAAAGUGACCUUUCUGGUCACGAUGGCUUUCAGAGAAAGCCUGGCAG
ensembl:lncRNA